CCGUCUAUAUACGUAUAGCAUAUCAAUAAGCGGAGGAAAAGAAACUAACUAGGAUUCCCUCAGUAACGGCGAGUGAAGCGGGAAGAGCUCAAAUUUGAAAUCUUCAAGGUUCUACCUUGACGAAUUGUAGUUUAAAGAAGUGUUUUCUGUUGGAGUUUUGGUAAAAGUUCUUUGGAAUAGGACAUCAUAGAGGGUGAGAAUCCCGUAUUUGACCAUUAUCUCCAGCUUUGUGAUACACUUUCAAAGAGUCGGAUUGUUUGGGAUUGCAGUCCAAAAUGGGUGGUAAAUUUCAUCUAAAGCUAAAUACUGGCGAGAGACCGAUAGCGAACAAGUACCGUGAGGGAAAGAUGAAAAGAACUUUGAAAAGAGAGUUAAACAGUACGUGAAAUUGUCAAAAGGGAGGCGUUUGACACUAGUGUUGUUUUCUCGAAAAUCAAUUAAAAAAGGCUGGAUUUUGUGUUGUAUUGACUUUAUCAGCUUUCUGCACUCUUUUCUUGUCUUUUUUAAUGCACUUUUCGUUUAACAAGUCAACAUCAAUUUCUUUUGUUGUAAAAGGGUCAUUGGAAGGUGGCUUUCUUUUCGGAGAAAGUGUUUAUAGCCUUUGCCUCUGCAAUCGGAGAGAUUGAGGUCUGCAGCGUAGAUCCUUCUGGAUUAGAUACAUUUGUGCUAAGUUAUAACCGUUUCAUAGACAACUUGUUGACUAUGAUCAGUCAUGUAGCUUACUCGCUUAUGCUAUUUUACCUACGCUUAGGAUGUUGAAGUCAUCGUAUCGCGC
rnacentral:rRNA from 1 species